UGUUAGCAACUGAUUAAAUGGUACCUUAAUUACAAAGAACAGAAGCAGAACUGCAUGUGGGAAGGGGGACUGGCUCGGCAGGUCCCAUGAUACUUAAUCUCCUGGGGACACAGCAGAUCUAAGAGCAUUUGCAGACUGUUGCAAUCUCCCCCUGUAACCUUGGAAAAAAUGGAGUUUCAAGGUUGAGCUCAAUCAGUCAGGUUUUAAGAGAAACUUUGCACCCAAUAUAACAAGCUUUUUUCAACCUGGGGGAGAAGAUGAGAACACUUACCACAGGACCAUGACAGCUUGAAGCCUACGCUUUCAUAGCCCCAUCCUGAAAGACUUGGCUGAGCUUUGUUGACAACUUAUCAAAAACUAAUCUGCAGACCACACUGCCCCAUGUACUUAAGCAGAUGCUGCUCUUUUGUUGUUGGAACAUCUCAGGCAUCUAAGGAUGGGCUUUGGAAGUUGCAUCUUCCCC